AUUGAACGCUAGCGGGAUGCCUUAUACAUGCAAGUCGAACGGAGUGGCGAACGGGUGAGUAAUGUAUCGGGACGAGCCCAGUAGCGGGGGAUAACUACGCGAAGGCGUAGCUAAUAAAGCAUACUUUUGGAGCGGCCGAUAGCGGAUUAGCUAGUUGGUGGGGUAACGGCUCACCAAGGCGACGAUCCGUAGCUGGUUUGAGAGGACGACCAGCCACACUGGGACUGAGACACGGCCCAGACUCCUACGGGAGGCAGCAGUGGGGAAUUUUGGACAAUGGGCGAAACCCUGACCGAGCCAUCCCGCGUGAGCGAUGAAGGCCUUCGGGUUGUAAAGCACUUUUGGCAGGAAAGCGGUACCUGCAGAAUAAGCACCGGCUAACUACGUGCCAGCCGCCGCGGUAAUUC
rnacentral:rRNA from 1 species